rnacentral:rRNA from 1 species
CCUACCAAGACANNGAUACGUAGCCGAACUGAGAGGUUGAUCGGCCACAUCGGGACUGAGACACGGCCCGAACUCCUACGGGAGGCAGCAGUAGGGAAUUUUUCACAAUGGGCGAAAGCCUGAUGGAGCAAUGCCGCGUGACUGAAGACGGUCUUCGGAUUGUAAAGGUCUGUUGUAAGGGAAGAACAAUAAGUAUAGGAAAUGAUACUUAUUUGAUGACAGUACCUUACCAGAAAGCCACGGCUAACUAUGUGCCAGCAGCCGCGGUAAUACAUAGGUGGCAAGCGUUAUCCGGAUUUAUUGGGCGUAAAGCGUGCGCAGACGGUUUAACAAGUUUAGGGUCAAAUCCUGGAGCUCAACUCCAGUUCGCCUUGAAAACUGUUAAGCUAGAGUGUAGGAGAGGUCGAUGGAAUUCCAUGUGUAGCGGUGAAAUGCGUAGAUAUAUGGAGGAACACCAGUGGCGAAGGCGGUCGACUGGCCUAUCACUGACGUUUAGGCACGAAAGCGUAGGGAGCAAAUAGGAUUAGAUACCCUAGUAGUCUACGCCGUAAACGAUGAGUACUAAGUAUCGGACUAAGUUCGGUGCUGCAGCUAACGCAUUAAGUACUCCGCCUGAGUAGUAUGCUCGCAAGAGUGAAACUCAAAGGAAUUGACGGGGACCCGCACAAGCGGUGGAGCAUGUGGUUUAAUUCGAAGCAACGCGAAGAACCUUACCAAGGCUUGACAUCCAGUGCAAAGCUGUAGAAAUACAGUGGAGGUUAACAUUGAGACAGGUGGUGCAUGGUUGUCGUCAGCUCGUGCCGUGAGGUGUUUGGUUAAGUCCAGUAACGAGCGCAACCCUUGCCGUUAGUUACUCAAUUAAGUUGAGAUACUCUAACGGGACUGCUAGUGUAAGCUAGAGGAAGGUGAGGAUGACGUCAAAUCAGCAUGCCCCUUAUGUCUUGGGCUACACACGUGCUACAAUGGUCGGUACAAACAGUUGCGAUCUCGUAAGAGGGAGCUAAUCUGAAAAAGCCGAUCUCAGUUCGGAUUGAGGACUGCAACUCGCCCUCAUGAAGCCGGAAUCGCUAGUAAUCGCGAAUCAGCAAUGUCGCGGUGAAUACGUUCUCGGGUCUUGUACACACCGCCCGUCACACCAUGAGAGUUGAUAAUACCAGAAGUCGGUAUCUAACCGCAAGGAAGAA